AGGCGAACACGAGUCGCUGGUCUAAAGAAAAAAAACACUUUAGCUAGUGCUUUUUACUUGUUCGUAGAUUAAAACUGUUCUUUGCCCAAGCAUAACCCAAAUUGUUUUCCAGAAAAUUUGCGGUGCAUAUUUCAUCUGUGAAGAGCACAUU
rnacentral:snoRNA from 1 species